rnacentral:lncRNA from 1 species
AGAGACAUCCAUUUCCGCACGCUUCAAGAACAUCUACCCUUUCUUUAUAUCUGCGGCUAAAAAUCUAGUGAUAAAUUUACGAAAAAUGUGCAAGAAGUUGUUCUAAAUACAUACAAUGCUGACAGAGGCGAAUGUGGAAUUUUCUCAGCCAUGGCAUGACAAAUUGACAGCGGUAGUUCGAGGAAGAAGCUGCCAACAGC